rnacentral:lncRNA from 1 species
GGUCUGUGGUUAUCCCCUCCCAGACCAGCAUCUUGACAAACUGGUCCCGAAGGGGCCCUGGGGGAAUUUCCUUUGGAGGCUCUUUUCCACCUUCUCAAUGAAGGUGGCAAGAUCCUCGGUAGCCCUCUGAGUAAUUCCUGCUACCGGGGGCUCUGAGGGGCCUUCCUCCAACUUCUUCCAUGCCACCAGUUGUAAAGCCCGUACCUGCUCCUGGUAGGGGGCAGGGAUAGCAGCCUGCUGAAGGCCUGUGGAAAAUUGAUCAUUGGACCCCAACAGUAUCCCAUAAGUUACAGGAACCAGGGGAUUAACAGCCUGAUUCCUCUCAGAAUGAGCAUGGCACUCCUCAUUAAAAAAGCACACCAUUUCAGGUACAGGGGACCAGGAAGCACGGCCUUGGUUAAGUUUUUCCAGUCUUGGAUGGUGCACUGUUGGUGGGCCAGACACUGGAGGAUGGUUUCGGCCCAGGGAGAAUUAGGUCCAUCCUCAGAGAUGGCCUUUUUUGAGUUCUUUCAAAUCUUGGGCCUCCCAAGCAACUGGAC